UGUAGGGCCGCCAUUUUGCACCAGGCUUCCUGAUCGGAGGUGUGUGGCACGAGGUCUCUCCACGCGGUGCCUGUGUAGUGGGCCGACUAGACUCAGCACAGGGGAAACAAGGUGAGGGCUCAGUGGGAAGAUGAGGACAAGAGCUCAUGUGACACUGGAUCUGCCGGACCUUGAUUCUGGAUAUCCAGCCCCCAGAGCUGUGAGAAGCAUUUCUUGAGGGUCUACUGUGCUAUGCUUGGUGGUUCAGAUGGUAAAGAAUCUGCAUGCAAUGCAAGAGACCCGGGUUUGAUCCCUGGGUCAGGAAGAUCCCC